rnacentral:rRNA from 1 species
GAUGAACGCUGGCGGCGUGCCUAAUACAUGCAAGUCGAGCGAACGGACGAGAAGCUUGCUUCUCUGAUGUUAGCGGCGGACGGGUGAGUAACACGUGGAUAACCUACCUAUAAGACUGGGAUAACUUCGGGAAACCGGAGCUAAUACCGGAUAAUAUUUUGAACCGCAUUGUUCAAAAGUGAAAGACGGUCUUGCUGUCACUUAUAGAUGGAUCCGCGCUGCAUUAGCUAGUUGGUAAGUUAACGUCUUACCAAGGCAACGAUGCAUAGCCGACCUGGGAGGGUGAUCGGCCACACUGGAACUGAGACACGGUCCAGACUCCUACGGGAGGCAGCAGUAGGGAAUCUUACGCAAUGGGCGAAAGCCUGACGGAGCAACGCCGCGUGAGGGAUGAAGGUCUUCGGAUCGUAAAACUCUGUUAUUAGGGAAGAACAUAUGUGUAAGUAACUGUGCACAUCUUGACGGUACCUAAUCAGAAAGCCACGGCUAACUACGUG